AGGGAAUUCUAUCAUCUCACAUUAUCACAAGAAGAAGGGUCUAGCCUUAAGGGAAUUUUUCCCUUGUUGUUGCUAAGUAUUUCGGGUAUUGUCAUCAGCAGAAGUUACCCAAAUGAGCAUUAUUCCAGAUAUAUUUUAAGAUAUAAAUCACCAGACUUCAUAAUAGUAUCUCAAGACGUUCUCUUAUACAUUAUCUUACUAUGAGGUAUGGCCAUGUGACUGAUUCAUGCCAUGGGAUCUGAGGGAAAAUCAUCUCCUUGGCAUGUCAUGAUGGUGACUACGCACCCAAAGGCCACAUCCAAGGGUGAUAGAGCAAGAAGAAGGUUUUUGGGUCCCAUCUCUUUAAGACCUGUGGAGCAGAACAGACAUUACAGUCUGGACUACCCAC